UCGCACGAGCUGCUGAGAGCAGGCAGGGCUCCGAUAAGACGACGCCUCUAAUGCAUAAUGAGCCUUUUAAUUGCCCUCCCCACAGCCCAGGCGCGCUGCCUCUGCCUGAAAGUGAUAAAGAAGAGAGACGACCCAGUUGGUCACCUGUGAUUGGCGUCUAUGUGUUUGAACAGCUUUAGAUGAUCCGCGAAGCCAGCUCUACCAGGGACUAAGGCAUAGGCCAGCGAUGGUUGAUGAGACGUAUAGUGUCAUGGCUGCAGAAACGUUCUGCUCUGGAUGGGCCCUAAUGAGAUGGACCUGACUCAUUAUCCAGCAGUAUCUGGACACGACUGCGCCUGGAGACCCAGUCUACCACUUCACAAGGACCACAAAUUACACCAGCUAGUUGGGCACUGGGAACGAGCUAUUAUGAGUUUCCACAGUUUAAUGGCUCCUCAGGGAGUUUACUGGUACCAAAUACCGUGUCAAUAACCUGGCAGUUAUUGAAACUCGUUUCAGCUUGACUUUGUGCUGUUUUCAUUUAAUAACUGGAAUUGGAGGAGUAAAGGAAUUGGAAAAUUGACAAAACAGGAGUUUGACACGACACCAGAUUAAAAUAUGCAUUGCAUGGAGUUGACAAACAUGGUGGCAUAAGAGGACCACUUAUCAUUACACACAGCCUAAUUAGCUUUGAAUUAGCUAGUUAAAUAGAUCAUUACGAACCGACCAAAACAAAAGCUCAUAUGGGAGACAUGCAGCUGCUCUGAAAUAAUUUUAAUUAUUAUUAAUCUUUCAUUAAAUUUGAAGAAUACAGAUGAAUAUAAGAUUCUUAAGAAUAUGCCUUAUAAAUGCUUUGAAGGCAUUUAUAAGGCAUAUUAGGCACAAAUUUAUUGUCCAAGUAUGAAAUAGAAUGUGUGGGUGACAGUUGGAAUAUCUAAAACGGCCUACCAUUUUUACACUGUAGAAAUCAUUCAUGUCUGCUGUUGCAUUGUACUGUGCUGAGUUAUGUGUCAAGUUUUAUAGUGGGAAUCACAUUUCUUCUUACAGCCACAUCUCCACUGAACUGUCAAUGUGACCAUAAGAUAAACCUGAGGCCUUCAACGCCCAUAGGUCAGUCUUCACUGAAAGCCAGAGGAAAUUCAACAAUGAUUGACAUCUCAUUAGCAUAUGUUUGUCCUGGCUGGGUUUGGCCAUGUACACAGUGUAUAUAAAGUUCCAUAAUAUGUGUGUGGCUAGAGAUGUUCUCACGUCAGAUGAUACAAUUAUAGUGAAAGUUUAAAAAGAGGCAAUGUUUACACAGGUCUAAUUUACAGUUAUACAUCUCCUCAUUCAACCCCUACUAUCCUUGAAAAUUGUAAUAUUGUAAUCUAUGAACAUUGCUUAUUGGGAUUGAUAUAUAGUGCAGUCUGUAAACACUUGGGCAGUCUUUUGUUGUUUCUGCUCUGUAUUCCAGCACAUUGGGUUUGAAAUGAAACACUGAAUAAGAGUGCAGACUGUUAACAUUUAUUGACUCUGAAGCACUGAAGAAGGUCAUACACUGCUGAAACGUCUGCUUAGUAUCAGCUUUUGCCACCUUGCACUGGUGCACGCUAGCAUGAUAGUCUGCACAAUAAACAAGUAUGUAUUUUUUUCUAGAUAUCUCAGCAUUUGUUUCUUUCUUGUUUCUUUCUACUUUUGCAUCUAACAGCGUGUGAGUCCCUAUUUCCCGUCUGUUGAAUUUAGCAUUUUUGGGGUACUAUGACUCUCAUUGACAUUCAUUAGUUUCUCAUGUUUAAAGACAACAGAAACAGACUGCAAAUGCAAAUUCCACACCUCAAAUUAACUCUAGACCUUUUUUUGUAUGUGUGCAUGUACUAAUGAUACAAAGAUACACAACUGGCCAAGAAAUCAAUUGUCCAAUUACGUUUGCUCCCCUGAAAUGGGGGUAUUAUGUAUAGAAAGGGCUAGAAUUCAUAAACGUAUCACCUGAUAUGGAUGCUAGUACUCUCAAAUUAAAGCUGGCAAUUGGAACUUUAACCUGAUAUGGAUUGUUUAAUUUCAAAUCCAAUGUUCAGGAGUACAGAGCCAAAACCACAAAAACGUGUCACUGUCCCAAUACAUUAAAAAUAUAUUUAAUAUAUACUGUAUAAUACAGUAUGCAAUUUGCCAUUUAUUUCAUUUGGAUUUAGUGAUGUAUCUUUGCAUAACAAAAAAUGUGAGAAAUGCCUUACGAUUGUAUAUGUUCCUAUUCAUUUGUUGUUAUUAUUGAUCAAGACAGUUUCAAAUGGUUAAUUCAUGUGUAUCAUGGUGUGUGCGUGUGUAUGUGUGUGUGGGAUGAGGGGGGUAUAUUAAUUAACCUGUCUCAUAUUUGCUUAACCUGUGGGAAAAUUAGGUUAUAGCACUGCUUCUCCUGACUACAGAAUAAAUUGUCUUUGGCACACAGCCUACAGAGAAGUCGACUGUGGGAUAUUGAGACUCAGCACAUUGCACACCAUGUACCCUUUAAAGACCUACAUUACUUAAUUACACACUAACUGAUUGACACUGUAUUUACCUUAAACUGACGUUUUGUUGUUUUAAUUACUCGGGUUUGCUUGUCAUUUUGAAACCAGUUCUCUAACGGUCCAGGACUUCCUGCAGUACCGUUACCCUCAAAGGCCAUUCAUUAAUAAGCAAGAGCUAUAUGGGAUGCUGAGCAAAUAAAAGUGUGAUGGAAUCAAAUGACACGUUAGCUCCUAAAUGUCAGAGAUGCUCUGAUCUUAACAUAUUCAAAAGAUUGUCCUCAUUAAACUGAGGUCAUUGCUGUAAAUAUUGUAAAUUUUGAUUUCGCGAGUCUCAUUUUAAACACUUUGGAAUAAAUUUGCAUUUUUAAUUUAUGUUGUGUGGAAGUAACAAAAGCCCUGAUUUCCAUGGAUGUGAAUAGAGCUUGUGCACAAGGCCUUUGAAAUUAAUUCCAUGCAAAUUAAGUUAGGACAUUUGAUAUAUCAAUUAUCUCAUCAAAUUUGGUUUAAUUUAACAGAUAAUAUAACUGAUUUUUGAACAGUAUCACAUAUCUCAAGGUUCAAAAAAGUGUCACCAUUUUCUUUUUUUUCCAAAUGUUUGACUCGGCUUUUCACUAUGCACUAGCGCACAUCCAAAUAUACACUUGUAAAAAAGAAUGUGAAAAUAGACUGGGAGAACGCACCUGCAAAUGUGAAACUGCCAAAGUACAGUUGCAAGAGCUUUCAGUCCCUGCAGCAAGUUAACCAUCCUUCAAAUGAAAACCUAAAAUCCAGUGGGCACGGAGAUUGAUCUCUUAUGCUGUGGGUGAAGUUCUUUAAACUGGGCCACUUUGGAGGUGAAGAGGGAUUUUUUUUUCACAGUAAUUACUAGAUGUGAAGCGGCAAGUAACUUGGGGCAGUGCCAGGUGGGCAUUGUGCUGUUGCUGCAGCCCAACAGAGACCUGUCCUUGGCACUGACACUGACAGACCGCGCCCCCAGACGGCCCGAAGUGCCUUCUCCGCCCUCCCUCUCUCCGUGCUCACUGCUUCAGCAUCAUAACACAUUUCCUCUGACCCGAAAACCCUGUGACCUUGCACCACAGUGAGUCAUCACGAAACGUCACCCAAUUUCACAGAAAACUGGAAACUCACAGUAAUCAUGCCACUCUACCCGUUAAUAACAUGAAUAAUCUAUCUUUAGGGUUGCAACACAACAGAUAGCUGCCUUUCAAAUGAGAUAGAAAGGUUUGAAUUCUAUUUGCCAUGUCAUCAUAGCUGAUGAGGGAAAAAAGCUGAACACUGGACAUCCGAAGGACGUCUCUACACAAGUACUUUCUGAAAAUAACUAGAACAAUUAUGAAUAAUUGAAGUGAACACUUGGUGGUGGAUAUGUGGUGCAAUGAAAAGUGGUGCUGUUUUUUUCCCAGGUUAUCUGUUAACGCCUACACUGGAGCCUUCUCUCUGCUUCAU